GUUCAUUUGGACUCUCAGGAGAGGAAUGCAGUGACAAUUCUUUGCUUAUCCUGGUAAUAGUUGCAACAGUUGCUGGAGUAUUAAUUAUCCUUACUAUUGGAAUAAUUAUUGGACUUUCAGUGAGGAUGAAAAAAAAUAAAAGUUAUAAUGAGAGGGCUCAGUUAAUUAAUAAGGAUAUCAGUGGCAAUGGUCCUGCUACUGGUGGUCUGUUUCCCAAAGUGCAAGCCAAAAUAGAUCAAGGUCAUGUGAACAGAGCGGCCAGCCCAUAUGAAUUCACAGAUGUAUACUCCCGCAA